CCUACGGGUGACUGCAGUGGGGAAUAUUGCACAAUGGGGGAAACCCUGAUGCAGCGACGCCGCGUGAGCGAUGAAGUAUUUCGGAAUGUAAAGCCCUAUCGUCAGGGAAGAAAAUGCGGGAACGUAACUAAUAACCCCCGGCUAACUACGUGCCAGCAGCCGCGGUAAAACGUAGGGGGCAAGCGUUCUCCGGAUUUACUGGGUGUAAAGGGAGCGUAGACGGUCCUGCAAGCCAGAUGUGAAAGCCCGGGGCUCAACCCGGGGACUGCAUUUGAAACUGUAAGGCUAGAGUGUCGGAGAGGCAGGCGGAAUUCCUAGUGUAGCGGUGAAAUGCGUAGAUAUUAGGAGGAACACCAGUGGCGAAGGCGGCCUGCUGGACGAUGACUGACGUUGAGGCUCGAAAGCGUGGGGAGCAAACAGGAUUAGAUACCCUAGUAGUC
rnacentral:rRNA from 1 species